rnacentral:tRNA from 1 species
ACCUUCGUGGUAUAAUGGUCAGCACACUCGGCGCGUAUUCGAGAGGUUCAAAGGUUCGAGUCCUGUCGAGGGCA